GUGGGGAAUAUUGGGCAAUGGGCGAAAGCCUGACCCAGCAACGCCGCGUGAGGGAAGAAGGCCCUCAGGGUUGUAAACGGCUUUGACGGUGAAGAAUCGACAGGAUGCGUCCUGUUUUGGCGGUAGCCGUUGAAUAAGCACCGGCUAACUCCGUGCCAGCAGCCGCGGUAAUACGGAGGGUGCGAGCGUUGUCCGGAUUUAUUGGGUUUAAAGGGUGCGUAGGCUGGAAGGUCAGUCAGCGGUGAAAAGCUGUCGCUUAACGAUAGUCUUGCCGCAGAUACUUCCUUUCUUGGAUGAGGAGGAGGCCACUGGAACGGAUGGUGUAGCGGUGAAAUGCAUAGAUAUCAUCCAGAACACCGAUUGCGAAGGCAGGUGGCUGUACCUUAAUCGACGCUGAUGCACGAAAGCAUGGGGAGCAAACAGGAUUAGAAACCCCUGUAGUCC
rnacentral:rRNA from 1 species